UGUGAAUCCAGCUGUGUGAGUGUGUACCGUUGGCCGGUGGUGCCCGCUGCUUGCUACGUCAAAGCGCUGAUUAGGAAGCAGCGUGCAGUGAGCGCGAGCCUUCGUGUCCGUGGCCAGGCGGAUCAGACGGGCUGUGUGCGGCGGAGGAGAAGCAUCUCUUUGUCGUCCUGACUAUAGUAACCGAGCUCUGGCCGACGGCAGGAACAGAGCCGCUCCGCAGCGUCCCCCUGCCUCUCCUUCCUACCCGGGCUCCGUGUCGGAUAUCCCCGCUGUAGGCUAACAAAGCCCGCUGCCAGCCUCCCGCAGACGGCGGCUCUCCGGACCAGGCGGCUCCGGGUUGCAUGGUGGUGCUUCGGCGGCUUCAGCGCUUCAACAAAUGCAGAAAAGGGAGAAAAGUUUCGGUAUACAAAUGCUCUCCGUCCAGCCGGACACCAAGCCAAAAGGCUGUGCCGGCUGCAACCGGAAGAUCAAGGACCGCUACCUGCUGAAGGCCCUGGAUAAGUACUGGCACGAGGACUGCCUCAAGUGUGCCUGCUGUGACUGCCGGCUGGGCGAGGUGGGCUCCACGCUCUACACCAAAGCCAACCUCAUCCUGUGCCGGAGAGACUACCUACGGUUGUUUGGUGUAACGGGGAACUGUGCAGCCUGCAGCAAGCUAAUUCCAGCCUUUGAGAUGGUCAUGAGGGCCAAGGAGAACGUCUACCACCUGGACUGUUUCGCAUGCCAGCUCUGCAAUCAGAGGUUUUGUGUGGGAGACAAGUUUUUCCUGAAGAACAACAUGAUCCUGUGCCAGACGGACUACGAGGAGGGGCUGAUGAAGGAGGGCUAUGCCCCACAGGUCCGCUGACCCCCUGCUAGACGAGGAGGAGGGAGAGGAGGAGUAGGAGUGGGAGCAAGAGAGACUGAAGGAGAGACUGCUCCUGUCCAGCUCCUGGCCCCAUCAUGUACAUAACUCAACUUGCCUGGGAGUGGGUGGGUUGGAUGGGUGGGGGGGGAGGGGGAGAGCACACUCUGCUGUACAGAAUAGUCAUACAGACGCCGACGUGGCAGGGAAAGGCACUAGACGCCUACAAUAAAAUACACAAAUGAAAACAAACACUUUGGCCAUUUGUGACAGAUGCUGACACCAGAGAGGUCUAGCCAACAGCUGAUCCUGCUGGUUGCAAUCGAAAAGAAAAUGGACCCACCCAAAAGCAGUCUUGUCUCACCUUAUCUGACAAGGACAGACAACUUACUACUUGAAUUCUAAAAUACACUGAAGUAUUGCCAAUCCAUGUUUGAGAGAAAGGACCCCUGUACUGUAUGAUAGUUAAAACACAGUGAAUGUAAACUGAUGAUUUAUUUGUUGCUGUGUGUGUGUGUGUGUGUGUGUGUGUGUGAGAGAGAGUGCAUGCGUGGCCAAGUCAUCCGUUCCUUCAGAUUCCAAACUUAAUCACAGGAGCAUCAACAUGCUUCCAAAUCACAAAUCUUUAUUAUUUCACAAAUUCUAAAAUGUAGACUUUGUGACAUAAUCAGAGCAUUUCUCUGGAUGGAUGGAAUCUCCCACGCAGUCACUAGAUGAAGAGAUGUGACAGCACUAUGUCACUAGAAGCAGUUGACCCCUGGAGACGACUCCUCUGGCAGCAUAAAGUAAAUGUGUGAUUGGCCUAUCAUUGAAAAGCUCUUUCCUGGUCAAAGGAGUCAGCUUUUGAGGGGACCAAAAAGUCUACAUGAGGACUCUGGUUAACUAAUCAUCAGAUCUCCUGAGACUAUUUACCAGGUGCACCGUGCCUCGUAACGGUGCUUAACACCGCCCAAGACGAUUGUGAUUGGUUCAAAGAGAUGCCAAUGAAGCACAGUUUUUCCCUUCCAGGAUUGUUGUUUGGACUAGCCAGACCCUCCUCCUCAGCGCCGUGGAGGAAGGAAUGCAUAUACAGCAUGAUUUACACUUCUGUGUUCAAUGUACGCCGUGGCUACGUACAUAGUUACGGGGAGAUGCAGACCUACACCGCUGUAGCCUGCACCUCUCCAAAAAUUUAACUACACUUUGCGCCAAUGAAAAUUCACUCGGCUUUGGCUUGGUAGCGUUACUUUACAGCGUCCAGUCCCCCCCCUCCCCUAACUAAUUUCAUGGUUCUCCUUCUCCAUAAACAUGAAAUCAAGGAGAGGGUUAACUUCUCCUGCUCCAGAUGUCUCACCGUGGUCCGAAAGAACAGGGGAGACACUUUGUUUCUCCCACUAGGGCUCUAGAGCCACUACUCCGUCUGAAGAUAAUCGCCGUCACCCUCUCGCUCACACACAUGCACCAAACAGCAGUCCCUGUUAGCAGCUAGGUGGCUCCGAGGAGCAUUCAGCAGCAUUCAUUACCACUGGAGGCCAAAACAGAGCUUGAACAGUGAACAAUGGACUUCCAUUCAUCCUCAUGUUGUUGCUCUGUGUCUGCUGGAUGUGUAACUAGGCAACAGAUUGGUUUGGCAACACCGUUAGAAGGACUACAGUUUUUUUAAAGAUGUUAUGCUCUCAGCUUGCUCUACUGCCCCCGAGUGGUCCAAAAAACCAAUGCAGCAGCUUUAACCAUGAUGGAGAGGACAGAAUACCUGUGGACAAACGCGUGGCCGCGCCACGCUAUCUAUCAUGGGGUGACCAGGCACAGAUCCAUUCCUGUGUUGCAUCGUGUCAGGGCUCCAUUCAACAACGUAUGGCUGCCGGGUAUUGACUGGGACUCCAGCUUCUGUUCUGAAAGAGGGCCGGGUAUUUUUCCGCUGGAAACAGUCUUUCUAUUUAUGAAAACCUUGCUUUCACACUGCUCAAAGGGAAAUGUGGGGACAUGCUGGUUUGUCUUUGGGGUGUACAGAUUGGUCCGGGGUGGUUGGGGUUGGUUACUUUUUGUACACUAUUUAUUUGAUAAGCAUUACCUGUUGUCCAUCAUUUGGCAUUGUUUGACAUGCUGAUACUUGAAUCCAGUUGAUGAUUUCUCUGUCUCUGUUUGGCUUAUGUUGAGGGUAGCUCUGUCAUUUCCCACACAGCUUUGGGUUCAGUAAACUGCUCUCUGCAUCACGGCGGCCAUCUUGGUCCCAGCGCCCCCCCGCAGAGGAAAUCCAUCCGGUAUUAACAUAAACGUCCGAGCGUGUGCAACAAUGCUCAGCACCAUUUCUUUGCUGGAGAUAAAACCCAUUCAUUUUCAUUUGUAAAUUGUGGGUGUACAUAUAAGAAAUAUUCAUUUUGGCUUGCUACUGUACAAUGAUUUCUUUUUACGUGUCAUCCAGCAUGAGAUGUUUAUUUUUAGGACAACGCUUGUAAAUACUGUAAUUGUAAUAAUUUUAAGCACAAAUGUAAUACAGUUUUAUUGUGUUAA